rnacentral:rRNA from 1 species
CCUACGGGGGGCAGCAGUGGGGAAUAUUGCACAAUGGGGGAAACCCUGAUGCAGCGACGCCGCGUGAGUGAAGAAGCGUUUCGGCGCGUAAAGCUCUGUCAGCGGGGAAGAAACACGGUUCGCGAGAGCCGCGGACGGUACCCGACCAAGAAGCCCCGGCUAACUACGUGCCAGCAGCCGCGGUAAUACGGAGGAGGCGAGCGUUAUCCGGAAUGACUGGGCGUAAAGGGUGCGUAGGUGGUUUGGCAAGUUAGUAGCGUAACUCCAAGGCUCAACCUUGGAACUACUACUAAAACUGUUGGACUUGAGUGCAGGAGGGGCAACCGGAAUUCCUAGUGUAGCGGUGGAAUGCGUAGAUAUUAGGAGGAACACCAGUGGCGAAGGCGGGUUGCUAGACUGUAACUGACACUGAGGCACGAAAGCGUGGGGAGCAAACAGGAUUAGAUACCCCGGUAGUC